rnacentral:rRNA from 1 species
GACGAACGCUGGCGGCGUGCUUAACACAUGCAAGUCGAACGGUAAGGCCCUUCGGGGUACACGAGUGGCGAACGGGUGAGUAACACGUGGGUGAUCUGCCCUGCACUUCGGGAUAAGCCUGGGAAACUGGGUCUAAUACCGGAUAGGACUCCUGGCUUCAUGGUUGGGUGUGGAAAGCUUUUGCGGUGUGGGAUGGGCCCGCGGCCUAUCAGCUUGUUGGUGGGGUAAUGGCCUACCAAGGCGACGACGGGUAGCCGGCCUGAGAGGGUGACCGGUCGAACUGGGACUGAGAUACGGCCCAGACUCCUACGGGAGGCAGCAGUGGGGAAUAUUGCACAAUGGGCGCAAGCCUGAUGCAGCGACGCCGCGUGAGGGAUGACGGCCUUCGGGUUGUAAACCUCUUUCAGCUAUGACGAAGCGCAAGUGACGGUAGUAGCAGAAGAAGGACCGGCCUACUACGUGCCAGCAGCCGCCGUAA